ACUCACUACAAUAUUGUUUUGGUGAACAAUCUUUUAGGUUCUAAUUAGCAAGGCAGUGAGGUGAUUGGCAUCAAUCCAAUUUCAUAUGUUUAAUUCAAUCACUUAGUGAAUUAAAACUUCAUUUUAAUUCACCUUUCUUAUUUGAUGACUACAUUUAAUCAUCUAGAAGAACUCACAAGCUAUGAGUGACAUCUAACCAUAUGUCAUAG
rnacentral:lncRNA from 1 species